rnacentral:rRNA from 3 species
CCGACCGCGACCCCAGGUCAGGCGGGACUACCCGCUGAAUUUAAGCAUAUCAAUAAGCGGAGGAA